rnacentral:rRNA from 1 species
GGUGAGUAACACGUGGGCAACCUGCCUAUAAGACUGGGAUAACUUCGGGAAACCGGAGCUAAUACCGGAUAAUGCUUUUGAACACAUGUUCGAAAGCGGAAAGAUGGUUUCGGCUAUCACUUAUAGAUGGGCCCGCGGCGCAUUAGCUAGUUGGUGAGGUAACGGCUCACCAAGGCGACGAUGCGUAGCCGACCUGAGAUGGGGUGAUCGGCCACACUGGGACUGAGACACGGCCCAGACUCCUACGGGAGGCAGCAGUAGGGAAUCUUCCGCAAUGGACGAAAGUCUGACGGAGCAACGCCGCGUGAGUGAUGAAGGUUUUCGGAUCGUAAAACUCUGUUGUUAGGGAAGAACAAGUACCGGAGUAACUGCCGGUACCUUGACGGUACCUAACCAGAAAGCCACGGCUAACUACGUGCCAGCAGGUACUCCGCGGUAAUACGUAGGUGGCAAGCGUUGUCCGGAAUUAUUGGGCGUAAAGCGCGCGCAGGCGGUUCUUUAAGUCUGAUGUGAAAGCCCACGGCUCAACCGUGGAGGGUCAUUGGAAACUGGGGAACUUGAGUGCAGAAGAGAAGAGCGGAAUUCCACGUGUAGCGGUGAAAUGCGUAGAGAUGUGGAGGAACACCAGUGGCGAAGGCGGCUCUUUGGUCUGUAACUGACGCUGAGGCGCGAAAGCGUGGGGAGCAAACAGGAUUAGAUACCCUGGUAGUCCACGCCGUAAACGAUGAGUGCUGAU